AAAAAUUUAAGGUCUGACCUGCUCCCUGAAUUGUUUUAAAGAGCCGCGGUAUUUUGACCGUGCAAAGGUAGCAUAAUCAUUAGUCCUUUAAUUAGGGGCUGGUAUGAAUGGUUUGACAAGGAAUUUUCUGUCUCUUAAUGAUUUAUAUAAUUUAUCUUUUAAGUUAAAAGACUUAAAUUUUUCUUUAGGACGAGAAGACCCUAUAGAGUUUAAUAUUUUAUUUAUUUUUAAUUUUCUGAUAGUUUAUUUAUUUUUAAUGAUAAUAUUUUGUUGGGGUGAUAUGAAGAAUAAAUAAACUCUUCAUUAUAAAAUCAUUGAUUUAUGUUUAUUUGAUCCAUAUUUUAUGAUCAUAAGAUUAAAUUACCUUAGGGAUAACAGCGUAAUUAUUUUUGAGAGCUCAUAUCGACAAAGUAGAUUGCGACCUCGAUGUUGGAUUAAGAAAAAUUCUAGAUGUAGAAGUUUGGAGAUUAGGUCUGUUCGACCUUU
rnacentral:rRNA from 1 species